rnacentral:rRNA from 1 species
UACGGAGGAUCCAAGCGUUAUCCGGAUUUAUUGGGUUUAAAGGGUGCGUAGGCGGCCUGUUAAGUCAGGGGUGAAAGACGGUAGCUCAACUAUCGCAGUGCCCUUGAUACUGAUGGGCUUGAAUUGACUAGAGGUAGGCGGAAUGUGACAAGUAGCGGUGAAAUGCAUAGAUAUGUCACAGAACACCGAUUGCGAAGGCAGCUUACUAUGGUAUUAUUGACGCUGAGGCACGAAAGCGUGGGGAUCAAACAGG